UCAGCCCUGAAUUCUCAAGAUACCCAAGAAUAUUCACCAGAAAAGGGCAUAAAACAUAUAUUUCACAAAGUGAUAAUUGGAAAAUAUAGAGGGUGUAAUAUUGACUAUUUACAACAAAAGAAAUUAUGGAAAACUUCAAGUGAGAGUAAACACCAGAAAUCAUAUAAUAAUUCAGAACUGGUGCACCACCAUAGAAUUUAUACUGGAGAGAAGCCCUACAAAUGCAAAGAAUGUGGCAAAGCUUUUAGUCAAAAGAUAGACCUUAUUCGCCACAGAAGAACACACACUGGUGAGAAGCCCUACAAAUGCAAAGAAUGUGGCAAAGCUUUCAGUCAAAAAUCACACCUUAUUGGCCAUAGAAGAACUCACACUGGAGAGAAGCCCUGCAAAUGUAAAGAAUGUGGAAAAGCUUUCAGUCAAAAAACAGACCUUAUUUACCACACCAGAAUUCACACUGGAGAGAAGCCCCACAAAUGCAAAGAAUGUGGCAAAGCUUUCAGUCAAAAAUCAAAUCUUAUUUGCCACAGCAGAACUCACACUGGAGAGAAGCCCUACAAAUGCAAAGAAUGUGGCAAAGCUUUCAGUCAAAAAUCAAACCUUAUUUGCCACAGAAGAAUUCACACUGGAGAGAAGCCCUACAAAUGUAAGGAAUGUGGCAAAGCUUUUAACCAUAAAACAGGCCUUAUUCACCACAGAAGAAUUCACACUGGAGAGAAGCCCUACAAAUGUCAAGAAUGUAGCAAAGCUUUCAGUCAAACCUCAAACCUUAUUUGCCACAGAAGAACUCACUGGAGAGAAGCCGUACAAAUGUAAAGAAUGCAGCAAAGCUUUCAGUCAAAAAAAUCACAUUUUAUUUGCCACAGAAGAACUCACACUAGAGAGAAGCCUCACAAAUGAAAAAGUAUGUGACAAAGGUUUUACUCAAAUAUCAACGCUAAUUUGCCACAACAUAAUUCAUACUGGAGAAAAUCCCUACAAAUAUAAGAAUGUGGCAAGGCUUUUAGCCAUAAAACAGGCCUUAUUAACCACAGCAGAAUUCACACUGGAGAAUAGCCCUACAAAUGUGCAUAAGUGGCAAAACUUUUAAUAAAAAAUAAAACUUUAUUCACCACAUCAGAAGACACCCUGGUGAAUGUGAAAUGUAAAUAAAGUGACAAUACUUUUAAAGAAAAACUAACCCUCAUUAACAACAGAAUUUAUGCAGAAAAGGACCUGUACAAAUGAAAACAAUGUAUCAAAGCUUUUAAUAAGAAAUCAAUUCUUUUUCACCACUCAGCUUUUUAUUCUAGAAAGAACACAUAAAUAUAGAGAAUGUAGAAACUUUUUAAAUUAUAUAUCAUGCAUUACUAGACAUCAGAGAAAACACAUUGGAGAGAAGCCUUACAAAUGAGACCAUCGUACCAUUCCUCUAAGAAAGAGUCAAUAUCUAAUACUCACCACAAUAAUCAUAGAAGAGACAAAGUUUUGAAAUGUGAAAAUUGACAAUGUGACAAUGCCUCCAAAAUUUAUUCACCAAUACUCAGCAUUCAAUACUGGUUAAAGAAAAUACAAAUGGAAAAAAAUACAUGUCAUAACUAAAUGUUUCUUAAACACUACUGAUUUUUGGAGAAUUCAUUAUGCCCAGAAACCCUAAAAAGUUAAAUAAUAUUUUGAAAACUUAUUUAAAUUUUAAAUGUAUUGAACAUCUGAAAACUCAUACCAGUAGAGAACAUUGAACAGAUUUUGUCCAAAAUGUA
rnacentral:lncRNA from 1 species